GAACAUUAUAUUUGCCAAGACUGUUGGAACCAGAAUCAGAGCCAUUAAAGGAAGCAAUUGCUUCUACAUUCUACAUGCACCACCCUAUCUUGGACAUGGUCUUCACUAUUUUAAUUGAUAUUGCCGAAGUCUUUCAAAGUAUCACAAUCUUUCUUUCACCAAAAAAAUAUAAUGAUCCUUCUAUCAGAAGAGCCAUAACAAACACCAUCCAAUAUUUGCUGUCAAGAAGCAAAGUCCUUAGUAACAACCACAUGACCAAUAAUCAUGUACCAUGAGUAAGAAUUGAUUUGUACAUGCAAUUUGUUGUGAUAUGCAUCCCUUCUUCAAUGAACAAGAACUAAUGGACCAAAAAUGCUAAAAAAUUAAUAAUUAAAUUAACAUAUAUGAAAAAACUAAAGUAAAAAAAUAAAACGCAGUACAAAAAGUCCUCUAUUUGAUUAGUUGAUGUGUAACAAAAUCAUCAAAUUGAUGAUACAAGUACAUUAAGAUAAGACAAAUAAUCUUUCGAACACUUCAGCUACGUGUUCCUUUUGUUUGGAACAUUUUGUGUGAUUAUAAUAGGAGUUUUGCA